rnacentral:lncRNA from 1 species
AGAAUGAAAUAUCUGCAUUGUUUUUUGAUCAUUGAAGAGAGGCACAAUAUAUAUACAAUGACUUUCAUGCUUAGCAUCUAACCAACUUAGCUAACAACUCUACAAAUAAUUGUAAUUGAAUAUGUAACUAACUCUGUGGUGCAUAACAUUAGUACAUCUACAACUAACAUGAUCAAGGCACAUUUAAACACUUAUUUAAUUCCUUUACACCCUUUUUGCCAGUUGGGAGCUAUGAAGAUGUUCUUCAUUCCCAUCUUGAACAUAAGGUGUGACUAUGAGGACCCUUCCCAACUGCCUUGUUAGAGACAUCAACAUGCUGUUCUGCAGAGGAUAAGUGGUUUGUGACAAGCAAAUCAUCUUGUAUCUUCUCUUUUAUAAAAUGACAAUUAAUGUUUAUAUGCUUUGUCCUCUCAUGAAAAAUAGGAUUGGCAGCAAUUUGGAGGGCUGAAGUAUUGUCUGAGUAUAGAGGUACUGGAAGUGAAAUAAUGACACCAAGUUCCUGAAAUAAACCAAGAAGCCAUACCACUUCAGCAAUUGUUGAAGCCAUGGAUCUAUACUCAGCCUCUGCUGAACUCCUAGACACUACGAGUUGUUUCUUACACUUCCAAGAGAAAGGUAAGUUUUCAUAUUGAACCAAGUACCCAGUAAUGGACCUCCUACUAUUGAUGCAUGAACUUCAGUCUACAUCACAGAAUACCUUUAGACAUUAGAAUUUCUAAACCUGGUGCUGACUUAGGUAUCUCACUAGUCUAAGUACAUCAUCCAUAUAUGAAGAUUUUGGAGAAUGCAUGAACUGACUCAAGCAUUAUACUGAAAAUGAUAUGUCUAGUCUAGUAGUGGUGAGAUACAACAACCUCCCAAUUAACCUCUGGUAGCUAGUAGGAUCCUGCAAUAGUGGAUCAACAUAUGCAAGUGGUAUGUUGGUAACAAACUCAACUGAUGUAAGCUUCUGAUUUAGUUCCAUUGGAGUUAAGACUGGUUUGGCUCCUGCUAACCCCUUGUUUGCUAUAACCUUCAAAGUGUACUUUCUCUGAUGCAUAAGCAUGCCAGCCUCAUUUCUAGCAAAUUCCAAACCAAGAAAAUAUCUAAUUUCACCUAGGUCUUUGAUUUUAAAAGGCAUAAUACAAUAAAUAUAUCAUUUAACUUAACCUCAUUUUACAUUUAUUCCCUCCAACUUCGAGUGUGCAUAAAUAGGCACUUAAACUUGUAUAACAUUGAACAAAUAGAAACACGAGCCCUAUGUGUCACAAUACACGUAGGACACCACACAGGACACAAAUUUCCAUGUAGGACGUUUGUGUCUAUUUGUUCAAUUUUAUACAAGUUUAAGUAUCUACUUGUGCACACCCAAAGUUGGAGGGCAUAAAUGUGAAAUGAGGCCAAGUUAAAUGGCAUAUUUAUGUAUUAUGCCAUUUUAAAAACAUGCUACAAUGCCUCUUUAGUCUCUUGAAUCAUAGUAGCACCGUUCCCUGUUAAUGGGAAAUCAUAUACAUAAAAAAAAAAAGUCAUCCAUAUAUAUGAGUACUAUCAUCAGUUUGCCAUCUUUCUUCUUAGUGAACAAAGAAUAAUCUUUGAAACUAUGAGUAAAACGUGAUAUUUUCAAGGUGGUAGUAAGUUUGAUGUUUUACUAUCUUGAGGCCUAUUUUAAACCAUACAAAGAAUUUUGACAAUAUACAUGAUUUAUUACUUCCAGCUUUCCUAUCAAAACAAUCUGGGAGAGUCAUAUAUACUUCUUCAUACAAGUCACCUUGUAAGGAAGAAUUAUAGACAUUCAUUUGAUGAAUAGUCCAAUGCCUAGCAGCUGCAAUAGAGAUAACAGAACUCACUACGGUCAUUUUAACCACAAGGCAGAAGGUGUUUUGAUAAUCAAAACCCUUCUUCUGAUUGAAACCUUUAGCUACCAACCUUUCCAAAUCACCAUUUGCAUGAUAUUUGAUCUUGUAAACCCAUCUACAGCCUAUAAAUUUCUUGCCUUUGGAAAAAUCCACCAAUUCACAUGUCUUGUUAUCCUCUAAUGCCUUAAUUUCAUUCUGCAUUGCCUCUACCCAUCUAGCACCUUGGAAGCUUAUGUAUAUGUACCAGGUUCUAUCUCAAACUGAGAAUUUUGAAACAAAACCUUGAUAUUUUUGGGAGAGUCCCGUAUAAUCUAGAACUGACGCUAUUGAGUAAAUACAACUACUUGGACUAGCCUUUGUGACAUAGUCCUUGUGCCAAAUGGGAGGUCUAGAUCCUCUAGUAGACCUUCUCACUGGUGGUGAAUGAGUGGCAGCGGGAGGAACUAACACUACCUCAGGAGGUAUAGGAAUUGUAAUAGGUGAAGUAAUUGGAGAUGUUGUGACUGAAACUUGAGCAGGAACUGAAACAGGAUCUAGAGUACCUAAAGUAGGAACCACUGGGAUAUUAUCAAGAUCAUCAAAAACAAAUAGAUUUUUUUGAGUGGAGACUUGAGUCUGUUGAGUUAUAUUGCUUCCAAAAGGAAAAGUUAACUCCAAAAACAACACAUCUCUACUGACAAAAAAGGUUCUAUUCUCCAAAUCAUAUAGCUGGUAUCCCUUUUGAGUUGAUCCAUAUCCAACUUAAACAACCCUCACUGCCCUUGGUCUGAAUUUAUCUUGUUUGAUGAGGUUGGCGGCAAAGCAUAAACAACAUAUGACUCUGAUGUGAUCAAGGGAAGGAGAUUUUUCAUAUAAUUUCUCAAAGGGUGAUACAUCACCCAAAAUAGUGGAAGGAAUUCUAUUUAAUACAUACACAUCUACCUGAAUACAUAACCCCCAAAACUUAUUUGAAAAACUAGCCUGGAACUUAAUAGCUUUGGGUCUCAAGUAUGUAUAUAUGUGCCUUCUUUCCACUACACCAUUCUGUUGAGGUGUAUAUGGACAAGAACUCUCAUGUAUGACACCAUCAAGUUUAAAAAAUUCAUUAUAGUUGGCAUUAAAAAACUCAGAUCUGUUAUCAAACCUCACCCUUUGAAUCUUUUUACCAAACUGGGUCUCUAUUUCAGCAAAGAAAUAUUUUAAUAAGCUAGUAACAUCAGAUUUAAGUCUCAUAGAAAAAGUCCAUGUCCAUCUAGAAUAGUCAUCAAUAAUUGUCAAAAAUUAUCUCAUGCCAGCAACCUUAUGAGGACCUCAAACAUUCAUGUGAAUCAGUUGAAAACUACAAGUAAACUUAAUAGUACUACGUAUAAAAGGUACUCUGGUCUGUUUGACCAGAGGACAAACUUCACAACUAUGUAAAGUAAACGUAUUACCAAAACUAUGAAAAGCAUUAUUUUUUCUUAUUACACUCAUAGGGACAUGGCAUAGUCUUUGAUGCCAGACAGUAACAUCAAAACUUGGUGUUGCUGCCAAACAUCUCUAUGGUGUUGCUUGCACAUCACCUAUCUGAGAACACAAUGUGUAUAGACCAUCAUUUUCUUCACUAGUCACUCUCACCUUCCCAGAUUAGGUAUUGAAAAGCAUAACAUUUAGAAUCACUUAUGAAACAGGCAUAAGAUUGAACUUGAAUGUUGGUACACAUAACACUUUCCUAAGAACAUCACCUCCUCAUAUAUGAAAAUCUUCAAUAUGUGAGACAUGAGCAGAAUCUCCGAUAGGCAGUUGAACAUUUUCUAUCAAAUAUUUUUAUUGUAAAUGUUUUGGAUUAUCUAUCAUAUAAUGAGAAGCAUCUGUAUCUACUAUUUAAUAAUUCAUCAAGGGAUCCAUAAGUCAAAGAGAAGUACAUGCAAUAUUAUUUAUACCAUUGGUGUCACUAAUGGAGGUUUGAUCUAACAUUUUAAGCAGUUGCUGGUGUUGACCUGGAGUGUACAUGGGCAUAUACAUGUUCCUUGAGUGAUUAGAAUGUGGUGAGGAUAUGUGACGAUGGUAAUACUGAGGAUGAGCAGAAUAAGGCUAAGGGAUCUGGUUAGGAGCAGUUUGUUGUGCUUUCAUAGGUCCUGCAUCAUAGAUAGAGUUCCCAACUACUACAUCAUCUUUCUUACAUUUGAAAGGUGGAUAGCCAAUCAGUCGAAAACAAUCAACCUUGAGGUAUCCAGUUUUGUGACAAAAAUCACACUUCAUCAAUUUAUGACAAUCAGCUCUCAUAUGUCCUUCCAUGUGGCAAAAAUCACAAAAGCCAUUAGGAGCAUAAUUAUCAGAUCUAGAAGUGAACAUAGAAAUAUGAGUCAUGUUCUCAGGCAUCAACCUACUUGAUCCUGCAACCAAUUUCUGACUAUAACUGUCAUUAAGUCCCUUAAGAAAUUGUAACAUCCUCUAAUAUUGUAAAUGCUUAAAAAAAUCUCUAGACUAGCAAUUAAAAGAAGGAGGAGGCAUAAUGGAAUCAUACUCAUCCCAAAGGUCUUUAAGCCUAGAAUAGUAGAUUUAAACAAAAGAAACAAACUUUCUAAACAAGUGUAAAAAUCUCCUUGUGAAGCUGAAAAAUUCCGGAACAGUUAACCUUAUUAGACCUUUCCUUCAAGUCCUCCCAAAUCAAUUGUGUGUGAGCAAAAAAGGGUCUCCAUUAUGUAAAUCUUUACUUACAUUGCAUAGAAUUCAGUAAACUGUGCUUGCAUUGCAUCUAUCCCAAAGGUGAGCUAAGCCUCUUGAAAUCUGAUCUCAUUUUACUAUUCCAUCAAUGAAGUCAACCUUGUUCUUUCCAAGCAAAGCCAGUUGUAUAGCUUUGCUCCACAAAGUGUAAUUGUCAGUUCCACUCAGCAUAAUGCCAACAUUAAGUGAUCAUGGUGCAUCUAACGGGUAUAAAUAGAGUGGAUGAAGAUGAUCAAUGGUGAAAGUUGUCAUAGAAGGUCCUAAUUGAGCUCCUGUAGAGAAGAAGAAAGAGAAAAAAAAAAGGAAAAAAAGUACGAAUCAACUGAAAAUUAAGAAGGAUCUACACAGCUGGUAGAAGAUCUGUUUGUUCCAAGCUUGAUGGCUUUGAUACCAUAUUAAUUUUGUGAAUUUUGGGAAUAAAAUCCUAACAAGACAAGAACAAACAAAGAACAAUUGAAAGAGUAUGAAGAGGAUCUAAAAAAAAUAUUUGCAUUGUUUUUUAUCAUUGAACAGAGGCACAAUAUAUAUAUAUACAAUGACUUUCUUGCUUAGCAUCUAACCAACUUAACUAACAACUCUACAACUAACUGUAAUUGACUAUGUAACCUCUACAACUUGCACAACUAACAGUGUAGUGCAUAACAUUAGUACAACUAUAACUAAUAUGAUCAAGACAUAAUUACACACUUAUUUAAUUCCUUUACAACACUCCACAUUAAUUAUGUCCUAUCCAGCUUUCAACAUACCUCAUCUUCACCCCACUCCACAUACUCUACCCUCCACCACCACCACUCAUAGUAUUUGUGUAGAUUAUUAACAAAUAUUUUUAGGAUAAUAUUUUAUUUGCAUAGCAAAUACACAAAAAUAAAUAAAAAAACUCAUUUAUUUUUCUAGAAAAUAUUUUCUAUCAUACCGAACACAUCUUGAAUUAUUACUCUAUUAAAUGUCCUUUCUCACUUGGGUAUAUUUUUGUUUUAAUUUUUAAUAUAAAUGUAAAAUUUCGCUCUAUGAACUAGACACUUUCUAUUUGUUUUGUUAAGUUUAAUGUAUGAAAUUUAGUGGUCCGAUAAAUUAAUAUUUGUGUCGACUUGAUAUAUCAAAAUGAUUUAUGCAAAUAUUCCUUUUUGAAGCAACUACAUAAUUUUUUUUCUGACUACUUUUUAGAUUUUGUCUUGUGCACUACACUGGAUGAAUAGGGAUGACAAUGGAACAGAAAAAAGACGGUUGCGAGCGAACCUGCAAAGAUUUCAACCCACUCCAUCUGCAUAGACCAAC